rnacentral:rRNA from 3 species
CAAACGACUCUCGGCAACGGAUAUCUCGGCUCACGCAUCGAUGAAGAACGUAGCAAAAUGCGAUACUUGGUGUGAAUUGCAGAAUCCCGUGAACCAUCGAGUUUUUGAACGCAAGUUGCGCCCAAAGCCAUUCGGCCGAGGGCACGCCUGCCUGGGCGUCACGC